UGGGGAAUCUUGGACAAUGGGGGCAACCCUGAUCCAGCCAUGCCGCGUGAGUGAUGAAGGCCUUAGGGUCGUAAAGCUCUUUCGCCUGUGAAGAUAAUGACGGUAGCAGGUAAAGAAACCCCGGCUAACUCCGUGCCAGCAGCCGCGGUAAUACGGAGGGGGCAAGCGUUGUUCGGAAUUACUGGGCGUAAAGGGCGUGUAGGCGGUCUAAUCAGUCAGAGGUGAAAGCCCUGGGCUCAACCCAGGAAUUGCCUUUGAUACUGUUAGACUAGAGUUCGGGAGAGGGUAGUGGAAUUCCCAGUGUAGAGGUGAAAUUCGUAGAUAUUGGGAAGAACACCAGUGGCGAAGGCGGCUACCUGGACCGAUACUGACGCUGAGGCGCGAAAGCGUGGGGAAGCAAACGAGGAUUAGAUACCCUGGUAGUCCACGGCCGUAAAACGAUGUCUGCUAGUCGUUGGGGGGCGUAGCCCUUCAGUGACGCCGCUAACGCAUUAAGCAGACCGCCUGGGGAGUACGGCCGCAAGGUUAAAACUCAAA
rnacentral:rRNA from 1 species